rnacentral:rRNA from 1 species
UACGUAGGGUGCGAGCGUUAAUCGGAAUUACUGGGCGUAAAGCGUGCGCAGGCGGUUUUGUAAGUCGAGAUGAUCGGAAUCCCCGGCUCAACCUGGGAACUGCGUUUGAAACUACAAGGCUAGAGUGUAGCAGAGGGGGGUAGAAUUCCACGUGUAGCAGUGAAAUGCGUAGAGAUGUGGAGGAAUACCAAUGGCGAAGGCAGCCCCCUGGGUUAACACUGACGCUCAUGCCACGAAAGACGUGGGGAGCA